AAGCAUCUUUGGUCACAUCGUCCUUCUCUUCCGUCGGGGCGUGGGCGCAAAUCAGCGAUAUGUUGAAGAACCUCGCUUUGAUGCGGAUUGUGGCUAGACGUUCAUUCUCCGGAGUGAAUGAUAGUACUCGGCGACGGAGUCUCUCUCCCACCACGAAUCCAACACCAAACUUGCGCUCCUUUAUAUGGCCACUGUAGUAAAUGUCACAAGGACCUACUCGUCUCUGUCCUUGUCCCGUCCAUCGCAUUUCUUGGACGGCGGUGAUGUCAGCCUUUAUCUUUACGAGGACAUCUACCAGCUGGGCAGCGGCACCUUCCCAAUUAAGGGACCGGACAUUCCAGGUGCAUGCCCUCAAAUCAUAGUCCUUAUUUCGUUUGCCAUGGUCGUCAUCAAAAGGGGGGUCUGUCAUCCGAGGCUGUGUUUUCUUUUUCAUUGGGGGUGUUUUUUUUACGUGGCGGGUCCCAAACCCAGCGCACAACCCUAAGUAGGGGAUAUUUCGCCUUCUCACUUUAGCUCGCCUUCAAACGGAUGUUCUUAGGCUACCCAGAGGAUACUUGGUCAAAGACCGGAAGUCGUGAGCUGCUUGAGUCAUAUGUAAAAGAAUCGUUUCUGGCCACUCCCAAGUGAAUGGCGAUCAGAGAACUUUCCUCACUUGCGUGAACUUCUACACAUGACUCCAUCCUCCAAAUAACUUACAAUUUUAAAUUGGAGAUAUCUUUCGAAUAGAAUAAUUCAAAAAGUUAUGCAGUAGUUUGUUUUGAUAAAUAUUAAUUCCAAAGAUUAAAUAAAAAACUUUCAUAGCAGUGGCAUUUUUAUAUUCAUAUAUAUUUUUUUUAACUAUAAAAACACUUGUGACAAAACUAUAAUAAUUUGACAUAUGUAUGCUGUCGCGACAUUUUUUGUAGAUAAUUAUGAUCUGCAAAUGUGUAGCUUAUUAUUUGGUUCUAUAAUCAAUAGUUUGCGCAGCGCAUGCGAUUUAAGAAAGUUUUUUAAUCAUUUUUUCACAUCUUAGAUUAUGAAAAAUUCUCAAGCGUUUUUGAGAAGCGAAAAAAUAACUUUAGGGAAUGCGCGAAUAAAAUACAGCCUAAUUGCCUGUCACGAAAAUUGCGAUAAAAAAUUAAGACGCGUCCGGUCGUUUUCAAGUUCUUUAAUACAAUAAUUCAUUUGUUCCGUUCUUGGAAUUGCUUAGCCUAAAUCUUAAAACUAACGGCUUAAGCUAGUGGUAAUGUAAAUACAAGGGGUAAGUAAUUAUCUUUCGUUAAAUAUUGUAGUAGAUGAAUUAAGGUAAGUAAUAAAUGAAGGUAAUAUAAAUGUAUUAUUAAGGUAAGUAUGCUAUUUUGUACAAUUCAAUAUUUAUAAUUUCAAUUUCAUUUUUCAUUAUAAUAAUUUAAUAUUUCAUUUUCUUAUGUUUAGUUUUAGAGUUGUAAAGAUGUCGCUUGGCGCAACACCGGCCGCCUUGACAGGAUCAGGAUCCUUCAAUAUCCAUGGGCAAUAAUGCGAGUUUGUGUAUGGGGCGCUUAAUUGUGCCCGCCUUCGUUGUUACGUCUGCGACUCACACCUUGCCGUCUUGCCCUUCGACGGUUGCGACGACUCGUCCUGUUACCCACUGCUGCGGUGGUGUGUUGUCUUCGUGUACGAGGACGAGGUCGCCGGGCUGCAGAUUCCGUUUCGGUGCGCUCCUGGUGCGCUCCUGAAGACCCGUCAGGUUUGUUUUGGACCACUGUCGCCAAAACUGUUGCUUGAGACAGCAAACAAGUUGCCAUCUCUCGCAACAAUGAAUUGGGUCCAUUGCUACCUGUGCUGGUGGGAGUGAUCGCAGGGAGCACCCUAUUAAGAGAUGCGCUGGAGUUAACGCUUCGCCGUCGUUGGGGUCCUGGUUCAGAGGUGUUAGGGGCCGAGAAUUGAGAAUUGCCUCCACUUCGGCCAACAGUGUUGAUAGCUCCUCUACUGUGAGGAGCCCGUUGCCGAUUGCGCGAACGAUGAGAUGUUUGGCGGACUUCACCGCGGCCUCCCAUAAUCCGCCGAAGUUCGGCGCCCGCGGUGGUAUAAAGGUGAAGCUGAACCCUUCUUCUGCGGCGAAUACCUUCAGUUCCGUUGCCUGGACCAGAAACGCCUCUUUCAGCUCGCGCAGCCUGCGAUCGGCGCCGACGAAGUUGGUUGCGUUGUCGCUGAACAUCUUCUGGGGCAUUCCUCGGCGACCAAUGAACCUUUUUAGGGCGAAAAUAAAUGAAUUAGUUGACAAGUCUGAAACUAAUUCUAAGUGAACUGCUUUGGAAGUAAAGCAAACGAAAACUGCAAUAUAUGUUUUUACGGGUGGUCGACCGCGUAUUUUUAAAGUUGUGUAUAUCGAACCACAAAAAUCUACGCCACAUAUAAGAAAGGGACGUAGUGCUCGAAGUCUUUCGACUGGCAAAUUUCCCAUUAUUUGGUUUUGCAACUUCGGCUUGUAAUGAAAACAAUGUAUACAGUUUCUUACGGUUCUACUGCAAGCUUCUCGGGCAUUAAUUAGCCAUAUGCGUUCUCGAAGAAGCGCAACCAACGCUUUAGCCCCAACGUGGUGAUUUCGAAUGUGCAGGAACCGUAAGUACGUUGUAACGAAGUGCGAACUUUUAUUUAAUAAAAGCGGAAAUUUGGCAUCGUAUGGGAGAGGUGCAUUUAAUAAGCGACCUCCUACUCGGAAAUAUUUGAACGACAGCGACUUAUCCGAGUAUUCAUGCAAAAACGGGUUGAGUUUUUGCAAGUUUGCGGGUAGGGUGAUGCCUUUAUGCAAUUUUUGAAUAACAUCCGAAAAUUCUGAAUGUUGGACCACCUGUGCAAUUUUUAGAAAGCUCAAGUUUAACUCUUCUGAAGUCAGAUCUUGGUCUCUGGAGGAUUUUGGUGGUCGCCUGAUCCAUCGUAAUAUAUAUGCGACCACACGAAGCAAUUUUUUAUGAGAAGAAAAUUUUUCAAUAAGGUCCAAUAUUGAAUUUUUCUCAGUAGUCGAAAGUAAUGUAAAUGUAUUUUUCUUCUUCUCUAAUGCUUCGUCUUCUGGUGAGAGCUGGAAGUGGUUAUUAAUUGGCCAUAAUGCAGGGGCUUCUAGGAGGAACUGUGGACCGCCAAACCAUAUUGAAUUAUUCAAUUCAUCCACGUUAUAACCCCGAGACACUUGAUCCGCAGGAUUUUGUUUCGUUGGCACAUGUCGCCAAUGUACUUUUUCAGUCAACUCUUGGAUUUCGGACACUCUGUUUGCGACGAAGGUUUGUAGUGAAGAUGGAUGUGUUUUAAUCCAAUGUAAAACGAUUUCAGAGUCUGUCCAAAAUGUAAUAUUUUCGAAAUGUCGACUCAACAUAGGCGCUACUCUUGACCAUAAUUUCGAAAGAAGAUGUGCUGCCGAGAGCUCAAGACGCGGAAGAGAUUUGGUCUUCAGCGGAGCCACUCUAGACUUUGCAGUAAGCAGCAUGCAUUUAAUACCACUAGCAGAUUGGCUUCGUAUGUAUAUGCAGCAUCCGUACGCCCUUAUUGAGGCGUCGGAGAAGCCAUGUAUUUGGCAGAUGGCACUCGACUCAACGUUUACGUAACGAGGAAUGCUUAUAGAUGAGAGCUGCAUUAGGUUGGCUUUAAAGUUCUGCCAGCUAGUGUCAAGGCGCAAUGGAAUCGACUCAUCCCAAUCUAGUUUUUGGAUCCAAAGCUCUUGCAAUAAGAUUUUUGCUUUGGUAACUAGUGGGGCUAGUAAUCCAAGAGGAUCGAAAAGGCGAGCAGAAACUGACAAUAUGUUUCGUUUAGUGGCUCGCAGAUCAUUAAAAUUGUCAUCUAAAAUAAAUCGAAACAAAUCCUCUUUCGGCAACCAAUGGAUUCCUAACGUUUUAGUGGAACUUUUGUCAUUGAAGCUUAAUGACUUUUCAGUGCAAUCACUGUCGAAAAAUUUAGGGUGGUUCGAAAACCACUUCGUUAAGGAGAAUCCUGCCGAGUUUAAUAUUUUAAUUACCUCACUUCUCAAAAGAUCUGGAGACUCAAAACUUUCGGACCCUGUUAAUAAAUCAUCAACAUAAAAGUCUCUUUUGAUGACCAAUGAACCGAGUGGGUAUUUCAUUGUAUUGGCAUCACUGAGCAUUUGCAAACACCGUGUUGCGAGAAAUGGAGCAGGCGCAGUGCCGUAUGUUACGGUGUUGAGACGAAAAAUUUGAAUUUGCUCAGAAGGAUGCUCUCUCCACACAAUAAGCUGACAAUUUCUGUCUUCUUCAUGCAUAAUUAUUUGACGGUACAUUUUAGUAAUGUCCGCUGUUAAUGCAUACUUAUGUAAGCGAAAACGAAGAAGAGUUGAGUAUAACUCUUCUUGGAUGGUUGGACCUACCAUCAAAAGUUCAUUCAACGCUAUUUGAGUUGAAGAUCGACUCUAAGCAUCAAAUACAACACGUAGUUUGGUUGUUGUGCUCUCGGGCCUUAAAACGCAUUGAUGCGGAAUGAAGUAGUGUGGCUCACUCGGGAUUUUAUUGUUCGUUGGGCUCAUGUGACCCAAGGCUCUAUAUUCAUUCAUAAAGUCCAGAUACAUUUUGCGAAGUUCUGGAUCUUUUAAUGUCCUUCUCUCCAGGGCCUGAAACCGCCGAACUGCGGUUUCAUAUGAGUGACCGAGUAACUUACGGUCAGCUUUAAAGGGCAUUCUAACUUGAAGCCGUCCUGAAGGCAAUACUUGAGUAGUAUUAACGAAAAAGUUUUCACACUGUUGUUGCUCUGGUGUGAAUUUGAUGCCAUUUGAUUCUGAAGGUAGUUCUUCUAGCGCCCAAAAUUUUUGGACUACUGAAUCGAUUGACGUUAAGUCUUCUUCAGCUUGGCAUAAUGUGCUAUGUAAUCUGGGAGGAGAACUUAUAUUACUGGCGUAUUUGCCAGAUACAACCCACCCUAAAAGGGUUUUCUGUAAUGUUGGUUGAUUAGGACCAUUUUUAAUUUGGCCGACAGCUAGAAGUUCGAAAAAUAAUUCUGCACCCAAUUAGAUGUCAAUUUUUUUACAUUUGUGAAAUUCUGGAUCCGCCAAUUCAAUAUUGUGCGGAAUUUUCCAGCCAUUAAUAUUGAUAUUAUGGUCUGGAUGAUUUGCCGAAAUACUUCGCAUUAUCCAGAAUUCCGCCGAAAAUUCGUAAUUAUUUACCCGCGACUUAACAAACGCGCUUAAUUUUGCCCCCACUUUCGUAUUGGAAUUGCCGAUUCCUAUUACGUUUAAUGUUUUGUGUUGUCGUCGAAUCCGCAACUUCUGUGCCAAGUCUUCCGUCAUGAAGUUGACCUGGGAGCCUGAGUCCAGCAACGCUCUCGCAGGUAGGUACUCUCCACAACUGGUCCUCAUUUGAAUCCCUGCUGUUGCCAACAUGACCCGAUCCGGCAUACUGGCUGCAUGCAUGGCAUGAGUGGUUGAUGGUUGCGGAUGAGGUGCAGCGGGGAAGGAAACCGGAUACUGGUGCAAUAAUGUGUGAUGCGAUCGAUUGCACACACGACAUCUGUCCGCUCUGCACUUAGAGACAGUGUGUCCCUUACGCAAACAAUUUAUGCAUAAGGGCACCGAUUUCACGAACUCAAACCUCUGCUGCACUGGAAGCGCCUUGAAGGUGGGGCAGGCAGUCAAAUGGUGAUCCCUCGAUUUGCACUGUUGGCAAAGAGGCUGCCUCGUAUUUGCAGCAACCAGCGCCGAUUUGGUCCUGUCCAUAUGUUGUUGUUUCCCAUGAUGCGCAUUGCUUGUAGGUAUGGGCUUCGUCCUAGAGUGUGAUGCUCCUUCCGCUGAUAGCUGCUGGAAUCUUCGAUUUAGGGUGGCUUCACAUUCUUUCCACAGUGGCAGCUUGUCAUAAUCCAGCUGUUCAUCCCAUUUGGAUCUGGUAGCUGAGUCGACCUUUGUCAUCACUAUGUGUAUAAUAAUAGCGUUUGUUAUAUGUUUCUCAUCGCCCAGCGAUAGCAAUGAGUCAUACACCGCUGACACUUCGUCAAUCAUUGAUCGCAAUGAAGGCGCGGAUGGCUUUGGGAUGGUUGGCAGCUCAAAAAGUUUAGAUAUUGUAUUGAAAAAUAUCAAACAUUUAUUAUCAUAAACUUUCUUGAGACUUGCCAACGCUUUCGGAUAAUUUUCAUCCGACAUUUGAAACGCUUUAACUGUUCCCAAAGCCUCUCCAGAUAGACAAUUAACCAAAUGGUUAAAUUUUUCAAUAUCUGGGAUAUUUGGAUCAUUAUGAACCAAGCUCUCGAACAAACUCAUAAAAUUUUUGAAUUCUGAAUAUUCUCCCUUGAAUUUCGGCGAAUUCAUUUUAGGGAGCCUUGAGCUGUGAGAAGCUACAAAAGAUGUUUCGGCAAAUGAAGUUUUAUUUUUCGCUAAAAUUGACUUUAUUAUGGACUUCGUUUCAACGAUUAUGUCCUCUAACUCCCCUCGGGCCAUGUCGUCCUCAUCAAUUUCUUCAAUCUUUGAUUGGCAUUUCAUUAAUUUUUCACUAUGUGAAUUUAAUAUAUCGAGACGACAUUCCAAUUCUAUUGGAUCUAAAGACAUAGUAUUUUCGAGAAGGCCCGUUUUAAUGCGCAAAAUACUACUUUUCGCAACCGUUCUUUGACGUCUUAACGAUUUUAAGUCCGUCAACUCCUUACUUGGAGACAGGCUUGCGAGAGAUGGCUUUGGCUUGCUCAUUUUGCUUGUUUAAAUUAAAUUUCCGAAACAGGACUAUAACGGUUGGCAACAGAUAUACUAAGAAUCGAUAACGAAAACGAAAAAUAAAUGUCGAUUCCCAAAUAUACGAAAGCCAAACUAAUCGCAAUAAAAGUUCGCAACAAAUAUAUUUGGAAUCGGUGACGAAAACGAGAAAAAAAAUAAUAUCGAUUCUCAAGUAUCGAAAGCCAAACCGAUAAAUGCGCAAAAUGAGCAAUAGCACAAAAACGUAAUUUAAUCGGAAAAUGUCCGAACGAAAAUCGACAAAAAUUGCGAAAAAACGACCGAUAAUUGCAAACGCGGAUCGAAAAAAUUGCGAAAAAUAUAAUAAUUUAAUUUGCAAUUAAGAAUUUUAUCACCUUUAUUUCAAAAUAAAGGGCUACCGCAAGAUCCCAGAAUCCCUUGUUCACUUUGAAUUCGUAUAUGUAAAUCACAAUAUACGCAAUAAUAAGUAUGUAUAUGUAUGUACGAGUAUAACCAUAUACAUAUAUAUACUAAUAAUAAAAUAUAAUAUGUAUAAAGUGAAAAGGGAGAGCCAAAAACUGAAAGUGCACUUGUUUUGAUGUAGUUUGCUUUUUUUUUUGCACUGCUUUCAGUAAUUCGCACUCGUUACCUGGUGCGUCGGCUGUUUGCCGGCGCUUACGUCCCUUUGGCACAGGAUGCAGCGGCAGCUCAUUCCCACGACGGCAGCGGCGAGCAGCAGCGAGUGAUGGCAGCAGCGAUUGAUGGUAGCAGCGACUGAUGGCAGCAAUGAAUAAGGGCAGCGGCGGUUUGUUGGCAGCAGCGACUUGAUGACAGCAGCGAGUGAUGGCAGCAGCGAUUGAUGGUAGCAGCGACUGAUGGCAGCAAUGAAUAAUGGCAGCGGCGGUUUGUUGGCAGCAGCGACUUGAUGGCAGCAGCGAGUGAUGGCAGCAGCGACUUGAUGAUAGCAACGGUGGCAACGGUGGUGACAGCAACGGUUUUAAGCACAACGGUUUUAAGCUUACCGGUUUUUCCACUAAGCGACACUUUAAACAGUUUAUAAAACUGUUACACAAUUUUUUUUUUUUUUAAACUGUAAUGCAAUUAUUAUUAUUACGUUUUUAGGGCAAACCCGUGAGCUUUUAUUUGCGCCCACCACUGUACCUCAUGAAAAAUUCACCUUGCACUGUACCACCUUUUCUUCUUAUUUUUUCUUUGGUUUGGAUAUUAGGUGAAAUUGUCACACGAACAUUUAGCAACACGCACUAUGUAUUUAUAAUACUGUAUGUAAAUAUGUAUGUGCACGCACUCCACAAUAACUCCCUUUUUUGUUUUUUGCUCUUUUGGGCUGAGGUAAGUAAAUUUAUGCACUCCACUUUAGAAAUAUAUAUGUAUGUAUAAUUAUUAUUAUUUUUUGUUUUUCAUGUAGUAUGUAUGUUUAACUUAUGCUUUCUCACUUAGCCUUUUUUAUAUGUAUUUUUUGCCACUGUGUUUAACACUUUUCACAUCACUUCUUCUCUUUAUUAUCACUUUAGUUUUGUGUUUUAUGUUUUAUAAUUAUUUUUCCUUCUUUGUGUUUCAGGUAUCACUGCACUUGAUCACUUUUAGUAUACAUAUGUACCAAUUAUAUGUAUGUAUGUGUACUUUUCUUUUGGUAUCUUUUUUAUUUCUUUAAAUGACAUGUACUUGUACUCGUAUAUUUGUUUUAGGUGUUGUUUUUUCUUUUUUAUGUUUAAUUUAUUUCCACUUCACUUUCACGAAGGGCCGAAAACGAACGAAUUGACAGGCAAUUAGCACGAAAUUAGUUUAUUAAACGAAAACGAAAGUCAAAAUUAAUAUAUACUAAGCUCAUGCACUUAGUCCCUGCUCGGGCGCCAUGAAAAAUUCUCAAGCGUUUUUGAGAAGCGAAAAAAUAACUUUAGGGAAUGCGCGAAUAAAAUACAGCCUAAUUGCCUGUCACGAAAAUUGCGAUAAAAAAUUAAGACGCGUCCGGUCGUUUUCAAGUUCUUUAAUACAAUAAUUCAUUUGUUCCGUUCUUGGAAUUGCUUAGCCUAAAUCUUAAAACUAACGGCUUAAGCUAGUGGUAAUGUAAAUACAAGGGGUAAGUAAUUAUCUUUCGUUAAAUAUUGUAGUAGAUGAAUUAAGGUAAGUAAUAAAUGAAGGUAAUAUAAAUGUAUUAUUAAGGUAAGUAUGCUAUUUUGUACAAUUCAAUAUUUAUAAUUUCAAUUUCAUUUUUCAUUAUAAUAAUUUAAUAUUUCAUUUUCUUAUGUUUAGUUUUAGAGUUGUAAAGAUGUCGCUUGGCGCAACAGAUUACAUUAUUGGAGUUUUAGUAUAGAUCACUAGCUUUUUUGAAAAUACCACAGGUAGUGUAGCUUCUCAACAGCGAGAGAAUUUUUCAAAUCAACAAGUAGUUCCUGAUUUCACACAUUUUGCCAUUAAACUGUUGUAAAUUCAAUUCCGUUUACAUUCAUUAUAUUCGGAAUACUUACAAGUACAUAUCGUCACCUGAAAUGCAAAAUAACGUAUCAUCAAAAAAAUCGAAAUUGAGUGUCUUAUUGAUUACUCUUCACUACUUCAAAUUAUAUACAUAAUAUUAAAUAUGUUCAACAUUUUCUGGUUCUGCGGUCAUAUAUAAACCAGUUUUAACCAAUAUUAAUAUUUUGUUUCACUCAUGUUCCAUUUUAUUCCGUGUUUCAUUCAUGCCACUGUAAAUUUCUGAAAAUGUUGUUACGUUAUUUUGCAUUUCAGGUGACGAUAUGUACAUAUUACGCGCAAAGUUUAUUUUCUUUGUUUAUUCUCCCUUGCUCUUUUAAUGUGGAUCAUUCACAAUGCGUAACCAGCUGUCAAAAUUACUUGAAGAAAUAAUGUAUUUUUUUUUCUUGAGCUUACUUGAAAGUUGGAUACGGACCUAUACAUACUACAUACGAGCACAAGAAAACUCGCGAUUCUUAAUUCUUGACGAUAAAUUUAUUAAAACGUGAUUCUCUAAUUAUACCAUCUGUGACGAGUGUUCUCAUUUCGUUAUUAAUGAACGGCGCAACUAUAACCGGAUAUGGAUAGCUUUUGUAAUAAAUUGGGUAAUUUUUUUGAGUACAUUGCUGUUAAAUGGUAGUGCUAUACAAGUAUUUGGGUCAGCAAAUGCAUUUAUGUGUGCAUUAAUCACAUCGCGAAAUUGAGUUUUAAUGCAAAAUGGAGCGGAGUCUUCUUCUGUUGUAAUCAAAUUGCUUUGAUUGCAUAAGAGGUGCGUUAGUUUCUCUUUAACGUUACGGUAAAAUAAGUAAUAAUUUUCGGUAUCAACAUUUGCUUCAAUUUCUCUAAGAAAGUCGUAUCCAAUGAUAGCAUCAAAUGUACUUAAGUUGGGAAGUAAGUAAAAUGUUGAGGUAUAAUCGAGAAUAUCGCGAAAUUGAGUUUUAAUGCAAAAUGGAGCGGAGUCUUCUUCUGUUGUAAUCAAAUUGCUUUGAUUAUCGUGUCCAAUGAUACCAUCAAAUGUACUUAAGUUGGGAAGUAAGUACAAUGUUGAGGUAUAAUCGAAAAUAUUCAUCAGGCAUUUUUUACUUAUUAAAUUUAUCCCAUUGAUAGACUUUAACUUCAAGGGUUUACCGAUACUCUUGAUGCAGAAACGAAAAAUUUCUAACAUAGUACUUAGAAGUUCCGGUGUCGAUUAAAAGCCGUAGCUCCUGACUACUUUUGGAUGUUUUGGUUAUAAACGACAGGAGCGACUUUAGUUUAAAUAAUUAAUUUCUUCAACUUGUUUCGUAUCGCUAUCAACUUGAUUACAGUUAUUAGUUUCAUCAUCAAGAUUUUAUCGGAGCGUCAACCAGCCGAGGUGUCGUAAAACGAACAAAUGUCCUUAAAGCCUCGGAAGUGAAAUCAAUGUGUGGUAUACGAGUAUUGUAAAAAUAAUAAAAAUGUAUUUCCUUUGCGGAUUAAUUUUAAAAUCGAAAAUGUGUCGUACACAUAAAGUGCCAGUAGCGGUAGGUAAAAUUGGUGGCCCCGGUAAAACUGUUCAAAUAGAUGAGAGCAAAUUUGGAAAGAGGAAAUACAACAAAGGGUGGAGAGUCGAAGGCCACUGAGUUCUUGGGAUGGUUGAGGAUGGGAGGGACGACCUUAGACUGAAGGUAUGUCCCGGCAAUGUGUGGUCUGCUGAGGUGCUCAUACCUUUGAUAGAGAAGCACGUGAUAAAAGGUAGUAUUAUAUGUACUGAUUGUUGGAAGGCAUACGACUGUCUGUCCAGUCACGGGUAUGAGCACCGACGGGUUAAUUACAAGAAAAUUAUAAUAAUGUGAAGAAUUUUAUAAUUUAAUUUUUGAGUAUAUUUGGAGGAAGAAUAUUGCAAAUAAUCGUUAUGAUCCCUUUGUUAAAUUAUUAUAUGCAAUUAAACAUACUUAUAUGUAAGCCCUAAAACCUUUUUUUUAUUACAAUGGAAAUUUUAUUUCAGAUAGUAUUUGUUUCCUGUGUUUGAGUUUCUUUUAUUCAUUUUUAUUCGUUUGAUAUAUAUGUAAUUAUGGCAACACUUAUUAUCUGUCAACACAGAAUAAUUUUGUUAUUGUGCACAUGCCUAAAAUUUGUGUAAAAUAUAGAAUGGUUAAAAUGUGAUUUUUGUGAUAAUCGGUCAAAAGCGUCCUUCGAAUGUUUGAUUCUGAGCAAUUUAAGAUCGUCAGUCAAUUUAUGCGGAACAAACCCUGCACACGCCUUUCAUAAGCCCAAAUCUUCGGUCAAAAUUCGAUGGAACUUCCGGUGAUCCGGGAUUUUGAUUGACCCUCUGCUACGGGAUAGGCAAUCAGCGCCAUAAUCUUGUUUCAUCAAUUGAAACGUUUUACCAAUUUUAAAACAAAAUUUAAUGUUGGCUCUUUGUUCGAAGCGUAUUCUCGCACCGAUAACACAAACUUCCAAUCUAUGAAAUAUCAUAAAAUUCUCACUGAACAAUUGAUAAGGAUAGCAGACGCACCAGUCUGCAUAUAGAUGGCGUCACCAGGGGACGCUAGAUUCAAAAAGUCCUCUUUACUUUGGAAAGCACCUUGAAUAUGUAUAAUGAACAGCGUAUUGCUAUUGAUAAAGUUAUUCGUGAAGUUCAAUACAGGAUCAAAAGGUAUGUACGGAUAGAGGAGGGCCUCCACAUCAAAAAAAAAAAAUAUAUAUAUGUAUGUAUUAUAUUAUAUCGAGGAAGAAGAUGACAUGGGUUUCGGUCUCUUCGACUAAACAACUCAACACUAAAGUUCUAUGUAUAUACAUAUACAUAUAUGUAGUUGCCGCUGACUUAUGGUUUUUGAGAUAUUUGUAUUUAAAGUUAAAAAAAUCAACUAUUUAAAAUGCGUGUUUCUCUUAUUUAUAAUGCAUUUUACACUAAUAUUUUUAAAUUUUAUAUAUACUAACACUUUACUAAUUCGGUUCUACACAUUUGUUUUGUAUUAAAUAGUGCAAAAAUAAAAUACCAUAUUUAACUUUCGUUGAAAUCCAUGCAUCCAUAAAAUAGGGGUAUUCUCUUGCUCUUGCAAAACCCUUGCACGGCGCACGAAUUGCAGAUUUUUCCACCUAAUGCAACGGCACAACAACAAACACACGCAGAAAAAUAUUUGCAAGGACUGUAAAAUAUGUCAGGCCACAAUGAUUAUUUUCGUGCAAUGACACGUAAAAAAAUAAUUGCAACCCCGUGCUAGCUGUCAUUUUACUUAAAUACAUAUUUUGACCUUAAAUUGUUAAGGAAGGUAAAUUUUAAAUAGAUUUUAUAAUUUCUUUUUAAAUUAUAAAGAUUUGUUGCAGUUCUUUUGUUAAGAAUGAACUAUUUGAUGAAAAAUAAAUUGGUGAAAUUUUAGUCUAGAUAAAAGUUAAUAAUAUAAGUGGAAAAUUCAUUGUAAAUAGGAGAAACAUGCAUUUUAAAUGCAUGUAGUUGAAUUUAUGACCUUUAAAUGCAAAAAUCUUAAAAACCAUAAGUCAGAAGGAACUAUAAAUAUACAUAUUUUUUUCUAAUUCUGAAUGACCUCCUCUAUCCGUACAUACAUACGCAUUUUAAGGUCCGUUUCCAGCUCUCAAGUAAAUAGUCAAGAAAAAAAUUCCUUAUUUCUUGAGCUAUAGUCAAGUAGUUUUGGCAGCAGGUUUUGCAUUGUGAAUGAUACACAUUAGAAGAGCAAGAGAAAAUAAACAAAGAAAAUAUACUUAUGUGUGUAAGUAUAUAAAUGUUUUCAUUGCGAUUUAAGGAAUGUGGUUGAUGAUUGGUAAGUUUUAUACAACAAUUCGAAAUGAACUUUUGUUGACGCCGCCCCCGCCCAAUUUCUUUUGCCACGUCUGUAUCGGCAGAGCAAUCUCUUCUUCGAAGUUUUUCGAGCGCAACUAAACGUUAACUAAAAAAGUUGCGCGCUCUUCUUUUGCGACAGCCCUGCGGUUCAGACGUGGUAAGUGUGUUUCCAAUUUGUUGUAUUAAAAUUAUAUAUAUUAUAUGAAACCUUUUGUUUUAUUUAAUAUUUGUGGAAUCAUUUGCGCCGACCGACCAACCACAAUUACGGAACGAGCCACACCGUGCUCCACCACCCGAAUUAUCAUUGGUCCUUCGAGCCGGAUAAAAAUUAACAAGUUGUUUUUUAUUUAAAGUGAAAGUGCAUAAUUUACCCAAUUUAACAACAUGCAAGUUACAGCCAAACAUAUUUUGGAUUUGUGCGCUGCAAGCUAUAAGGCAAUAGAUUGGUUAAUUUGUGCAUAAUUAAUGUACAAAACCCAUUGUGCUGUGUGAAGUGGAGAACAAAACUUAUUUUUGGCACUCUACCCACAAAAUUAACGCACAAGACUGCAAGUAGUAUUGUACUUAUUUUAAGUACAACAAUAAAUACACCUAGCAAAUGCACUGAUUACUUUGCAUAACAAAAAACACACACAGACUGUUAUUCGAACAAAUUUAUAAAUUUCUUGGACGCACAAACAUCGCCUGGAGCGUCAAAAAUCUCUCUCGGGUUCUUGUUUUUUCUUGUGGUUAAUUUGAGUCUAGUCGCUCAACUCUGCCUUUCCAUAUAUUGCUCGAAUAGCAUUAAAGGCAAGCAGCAAUAACGCAGCUGCAGUUUCGCUAGUGCAAAAAAAAAAAAUACAAAAUUACAAGUGAAGUGAGUGACGAAAAAUUAGAAAAGUGAAGUGAGCGACGGCAAAACAGCAAAGGGAGAGAAGCAAAGGCAAAGCAGCGCAGCAGCCAUCCCAGAAGGACAGCAAGAAACAAAAGAGUACAGUGGUGAAAUCGAUAUAGUUCGAAAAUAACCCCGUGAACAAUGUGAAAGUGAUUAGUUGAUUAAUCAAAUAAGUGGAUGUGAAUUUUUUAUUUGUGUUUGCAUUUAAAUAAAGCAACUAAGCACAAAUCAAUUUUGUUUGUGUACAUAGUUGAAGACUAAGGCAUUGGGCCGAUUACCCAGCAAGCACGUUCAAAUUAAAUUUGGGAAAAAUUCUUUGAGAAAAUACUUCACUAAAUUUAUUAAUUUUUUGUUCUCUCGAAAUUUCACGCUUCAUAAAGAAAUAACGCACUGCCUAUCAUCAACUCAAUUGUAGUUUGUCCGUGAUUGGUGCCCUUAACUUUUGAAAUUUUCGCAACAUAUUUGCAAAUAUUUUUUAAAUUUUAAUUUCAAAAGUUUUAGAUCCGAUUUUGUGCAACUUUUUGCAGUUCCGGUUCAAUUUUCGAACACAAUGGAAUCCAUCAGAGCAUUUAUCACAGCUGCAGACGCUCUACUGGAGCUUGAGAUGUCAUUUACUCCAACCGCAAACCACCAAAGUGCCUCCUCUCUUGAAGUACGAGUACAACAAACUGAACUGAAAUCUCUGUGGGCAGAGAAGUCAGAAUACAAGUUGUGUUUGCCAAAGGUGAAUCCUUCCGACACAAGCUCAAUUGACGACAUUAAGCUUAAAUAUACAAGCUGUUACCACGCUUAUGUGUGUAGCGCGGCCUUGAUGGGCGAACAUAUGCACAACCGCACGGCGUUCAACCAAAGACCAACUUCAAAUUCAACAGUGAUUCAACCUGAACGGUUAUAACAAACGGUAGAACCCGUGAGGUAUCCCAUCAACUUACCGCCAUGUGAUACCGAAAUAUUUCAUGGCGAUGUUUUACAAUGGCCCUCAUUUAGGGAUUUAUUUGCCGCCAUUUAUGGGAAUAACCCAGCGUAAUCUCCAGUGGAAAAGUUAUUCCAUCUAAAUCAAAAAACGCGAGGUGAGGCAAAAGCUAUCGUUUCCAAAGCGCCACUGACGAAUGACGGAUUCGCAUUGGCUUGGAAUAAUUUGUUGUGUAGGUAUGAAAACUAGCGAGUGCUUGUCAAUACACAAUUAAAUGUAUUGUUCAAGUUUCCGAACAUUUCAACAGAAUCUGAGAAUUAUUAUCUGAGCUUUAUAAAUACAUGGCAUCAAUGUAGAUAGCUGGGAUGCCAUUUUUACGUGUUUGUGUUCUAUCCGACUACCGUACUAUACACUGUCGCUUUGGGAACAGUCUCUGGAUUCGGAUUCAGAGAUCCCAAAAUGGGUUAAGUUAGACAAGUUUCUAACCAAACGGGUUAAAACGCAGGAAAGAGUAUCAAGCCUCAAAGGCGAGUUGGGUACUCAACCCAAAAUGGCUGAUGGUGAAGGUCGGAUACCAACCUUGCAGUCAAGGAUUGGAUCCAAGCCCAUCAAUUCCCAUCACACCAAGACAAACAGUACUAAAUGUAAACUGUGCUCAUCUCAAUCGCAAAUUUUGAAAACUUGUCAAAGAUUCAUUGAAAUGCAGCCUAACGCACGAUUAAAUGCUGUCAGAAAACUCCACGUCUGCCUAAACUGUUUAUCGGACUCACAUGAAGUCAAAAAUUGUAAAAGUAUGUUCAAUUGUUCCAAUUGUAAACAAAGACAUCACUCUAUGAUUCACCGGGAUCAGAGUGAGGAAUUAGCUCAGAUAUCCGACAGCACAGAUAUUACUGAGAUUUCUACUAAAUCUCAUGUGGCCUCUAUUAAGGCCAAUGUUUCAAAUGUGCUUACCAGUCGAAAUAUGCUCUUACGUACAGCCAUGGUGACCAUAUGUCACAACGAGAGUACCAUCACUGUCAGAGCCCUGAUUGAUUCGGGAUCUGAAGCAACCUUCGUAAGCAACAGUCUUCAGAAACGCUUAAAUCUGACAAGCCAAAAGGUCAGCGCCCGAGUUUCAGGAUUGAAUAAUACCGUAUCAGGACGAGCUUAAUCGGUAUGCUCGAUCACAAUUGGCUCGUCUCGUAACAAAAGCUUAAGACUAGAAGCAUAAGCGUUGGUACUGCCAAAAUUUACUGGGCAGCUUCCAUCCAGAUCAAUAAACCAUUCAAUUGUCAAAAGGUUACCCAAUAUCUCCUUAGCGGAUAAUAAUUUCUAUACGAGUUAAAAGGUUGACUUGUUGAUCGGAGCAGAUCUUUACCCGAAAAUGAUACUAAAUGGGGUAAAAUCGAAAAUUUUUGGAUCUCUCGUUGCACAACGUACAGUGUUCGGUUGGAUUAUAACAGGUUCUGUUCCCUCCAAAGAAACGAAGAUAAAUGGCAAAGGCGAUAAACGAAAUUCAACAAUAACUCAACAACAAACACAAAACUAUUUUUGUACUGAAAAUAAUACUAAUUUUGUAUUUAUACAACAGCAACAACAUCAGCAGCAGCAGCAACAACGGGAUCAGACUAACAAUGAUGCGCCCGGCUCAACGAAUCACACCGAUACGCAUGGUGGCGCAUUUCGAGCACCCGGCGUUGGGAUGCAAUCACACAACGGUGACCACGUAUCUGGCAGUAGUUCGUCACAACAACAGAAUUCGAUGCCACACCUGCAGGCAUUCCAAAGCGGCCUCCACUCCCAUCUGUUGCGCCGCCAACAACAUGCCGCAGCCGCAAUGCAACGAGAAUCCGCAAAAGCAAAAAGACGAAAGAAUCGUGAUCCCGAUAAGCUCUUCUUGCUCUCACUCUACAAGGAGAUCACACGUGUGUCCGAAGAGAUACGACUCGAUGUCAAGGGCGAAUUAUACAGGUGCUCAUCAAUCACAACCACAUGCACAAUCCACAGCGUCGUCAACGAGCAAACAAAGUACGACCACCACAAGCGACAAGAUACAAUCGUCACAGCAUGCGCGUCAUAACGCACAGUAUGUAUCAGCAACAAGAGAAAUAAAAGAAAACUGAAAAAGAAGCAUCGCCACAAUCUCAAGUCGAACGCGUAUCGGCUUCAACCGUAGCGUUGCACGCACAACAAUGGAAAUGGAAGAGAAUUCAAUGCCAAUCGGUAUGACGUAUUCGGACCCCUCUCAACCGUGUCAACGGACGUCAUCAGUAACGCAAAGCUCUGACCAACGAGGCCUCUCCCGCAUACCACACGCCCAAGAUCGAGCCAGAUUCGAGUCACCUCGCUGACUUCGGCAUGCUGGUAACUUCCUUUCGGAUUGGCGGCAUGGCAACGAUCGACUGAGACUCUAUUCGUCUCAGCGACAUUGCCCGAACCGAGCGGAAGGCCACUCGUUCCGCCGGCCACCCCAUCCGAAGCAAAGGAGUGGACGAGACGCUCGACGUCAAGCAGAUGCGCGCCGUAUCAUUAAGGAAAGGCACGCAACACUACCUUGGCAGCAAAAACUUGCGGCGUCGUAUAAUAUCGGCACAAUAAAGUGCACUGGCUGCCAAUGCCUCUCACAUUUACCUUACUCGAGUCGUCUCGCCGACCUCGGAAGGCGGUGACUUCUAUGCAAAUUGGCGGCAUGGCAAUGACCGACUGAGACUCGAUUCAUCUCAGUAGCAUUUCCUGGACCGCCCCAGACUCGAUUCGUCUCGACAGCCACCUCAUCUGCAAAGAAGACAUGAAAGAGGAAGUGCAGAAGCCAGUCGCACUUUAGUUUUAAGUAAUUUAUUGUAAACUGCAUUUGCAGUAAUGCUGCAAGGCGGGGAGAAUGUUGACGCCGCCCCCGCCCAAUUUCUUUUGCCAAGUCUGUAUCGGCAGAGCAAGCUCUUCCUCAAAGUUUUUUCGAAGUUUUAAUUCGAGCGCAACUAAACGUUAACUAAAAAGUUGCGCGCUCUCUUCUUUUGCGACAUUCCUGCGAUACAGACGUGGUAAGUGUGUUUCCAAUUUGUUAUAUUAAAAUUAUAUAUAUGAAACCUUUUGUUUUAUUUAAUAUUUGUGGAAUCAUUUGCGCCGACCGUUUCCCCACGGCCAACCACAAUUACGGAACGAGCCACACCGUGCUCCACCACCCGAAUUAUCAACUAUAUUUCAUAAUAGGGAUUUUAACUAAUUUAGGAUGAAUUUAACUUUGAAUUUCCUUCAAAAAACAAUUGUCGAUUUCAUGUUUCUUCGCAAAACCAGCGUUGCCAUGUUCCCAUUUUAUUGAAAAAUUUAUUAAAAAUUAGUACUAGAAUGGUUUAGAGCUGCAUACUAGCACAAGAAAAUUUGCCGCAGGAAAACCCAAACAUUCGCACAAACGGAUAUAAUUUGUAGAUUGAUUGGUGAAAAGACAUUCCAUAAUGUUUUUAGACUGUCCAUAAAUCCGCUGGAUUAUACAGUACCGAAUAUAAAAAUAAUAGUUAUGCCGGAUUUAAUAAUUGGGCGAGUUUACUCAUAAGAAAUUUUUGUAAGUCCGUUACAAGUUAUGAAAUGUAUUGAGAUGAUGUUGAAAGACUGUGAUUCGCAAAACAAAAAAAAAUAUUUUUGCCUGAAAAGCUGUACUAUUAUGUGGAGAUUUUAGACAAAUAUUGCCCGUGGUUCCUUAUGCAUCACGAUCAGUAAUGAUAGAAAUUUGUAUUACUAAUUGGGCAGAAUUCCCGUUUUUUAAUCAUAUAACGUUAACUUCAAAUAUGAGUGCAUACUCCGAAGAGAUGGAAUUCGUUCAAUUUCUAAAGAAAAUAAGCAGUGGUGAGGUAAUGACAGCCAGUUUGUUGAAUACUUAAGGCCUAACUAUAAUGCGCAUACUCUUACGCUGUCGUAACCCGUAUCAAAACAUUAACGAAAAGACUGUCAAAUGCAUAAGGAACGGAGAGUUGACUCUUGAAUGACUAUAAUGUACUUACUUGCAGAAAAGAAAAGUGUAAAUAAACAAUUUGUGUUUUGAUUUAAGUUUCGUUUGGGUUUUGCAAUACAGAAAUGAAUAGAAAAUUAAAAUAUUUAAAAACAAUCUGUUUUAGACGGAAUAUGCAUAUUAACAAAAAUUAGUGGAAUUAAAAAAAAGAGUUCGGUCAUAUUCAUCAUGUUCAUGGCAAAAAAAAGAAAGAGGAAUGUUUUUUUUAAGAUUCCUAGAAACUCCUUUUCUUUGUUUGUGCGAUUGAAAUAAAAGGCAUCUAUUUUGUGGUACAAACAUUUCCUUUUUUUAAUAUUUUCCAUUAAAUUUUGUAUUUCCAAAUUCAAAACGAUGUUUCUGUUGACAAAAAAUGAAAAGAGCUGAUUCCAUACGAAAAACUGCGACCAGUUUCGCAUUUUCCUUAUGCAAAUGACUUUUUAAAAAACUUAACGAAACUAGAUGUAAAGUACAUUAGGGGUAUUCUCUUGCUCUUGCAAAACCCCGGUGCACGGUGCAAGCAUUGCAGAUUUACAACGGCACAACAACAAACACACGCAGAAAAAUAUUUGCAAGGGCUGUGAAAUAUGUCAGACCAAAACCCAUGUAUAUUAGCGUGCAAUGUCACGCAAAAAUAAAAUUGCAACCCUGUUGUAGUUGCCAUUUUACAUAAAGACAUUUUACGUCGUUAAACUGUUGAGAAAGGUAAAUUUUAAUUAGAUUUUAUAAUUUCUAUUUAAAUUAUAAAGUUUUGUUACAGUUUUUUUGUUAAAAAUGCAUGCAGAAGGUGCGCCAAUUCACAAUAGUCAUUUAUGAUAAAUUAUUUAAAUAAAUUGACUGAAUCAGUCGCUCAUAUAUCACUAGAUUCUGCAAUGGGUGCUCUCGUGCCCUUGUAUAUUUCGGUGUAGUAUUUUUGCAAUCUGCAAUCUUGCAAGAGCAAGAGAAUACCCCUUUUAUAGUUGUUAAAUACAAUUUAUAGGGGUAUUCUCUUGCUCUUGCAAAACCCUUGCACGGUGCAAGAAUUGCAGAUUUUUCCACCUAAUGUAACGGCACAACAACAAACACACGCAGAAAAAUAUUUGCAAGCGCUGUAAAAUAUGUCAGACCAAAACCCAUGAUUAUUUUCGUGCAAUGACAUGCAAAAAUAUAAUUGUAACCCUGUUUUAGCUGUCAUUUUACAUAAAAACAUAUUUUGACGUUAAAUAUUUGAGGAAUGUAAAUUUUAAAUAGAUUUUAUAAUUUCUUUUUAAAUUAUAAAGAUUUGUUAAAGCUUUUUUGUGUAAAGCAUGAAUGCAGAAUGUCAAUUCACAAUAACCAUGCACAAUGUUUAUUUUUUUAUGUUAUUCACAUUAUAGUUAGGCUUUUAGUUGAAAUUCCAGCAAAUGUGAUAGGUGUUGAACCUGGCAUAAUACAUAAUAUUUUAGGAGAUAUUUGUGACACCAAUUUAUAGAUGAACGUUAAAGUAAGUUCUUCAAUAAGUUAUAGACAUUGUUAAAAAGUUGUAUUUUCUAAUAAUCAAAUUUUGAACACUGGCGACCCCAGCUUAAAAAAUCGCCACAAAUGAUUUUUGUUAAAAAGCAGUCAUAAAUACUGGCAUCCACAUAUUACACAUAUUUACAUUAAACUCAUUAGGGCGGGUCAUGUCCGCUUUUUAAAAUUUUAAACUACAGAUACUCCAACUUACUUUAACCCAUUUACAACCAAGGAGUCAAAAAAUAAGUUUAUUUAAAAUUUUCAGUUUUUUAUUGAUUUAUACCAUCGCAGAGAUGAACAAAAAAUAUUUUUUUUUUUUUUUAUUACAUAUACGAAAAUUUUGCUGUACCCACACGAGUACAAUGGUCAAAAGUGUAUAAAAUAUUUAUGAGUGGGCUAUUUUAAAACAGUCCCGCUCCACGCACAAAGCAGUACCACAUAGCUCGCAAAUCUACCUGUUUCGUUUACGGCAGACUCUGCAUCUAAGAGGCUUGAGGAUUCUCUUUGGAAAAUGUGCUCCUCCAGCUGUAGAAACACUUGUACCUAACGCGCGCUUAGAAUAUCUUUUCAAUGUUUAGUGUCGUAGGUAGUAUCGUGUAAUGUCACGUUGAAACUCAAGCAAAUCUUUGGUACUAUUAUUCACGUCUUUGUACAGCUUCCAAGCGUUUACCAUUGUGGAGCACAUCAUCGAAGUAAACAGCGGCCACCACCUUUUUUUGCCUCGAAUCCCAAUUUUGUAUACAUUUACGGCCUGAUCAUGUAGAUCAACACCGCCCAUACCUUGGUUGUAAUUUGAAAGUAAAUUUGGCUGAGGUAUACUUAUCUUUUUUUGUUCCAGUUUUGACCAACGCUUUGCGUAUUUCAACGGUUCAACCGUAUCAAAAUUAGUUCUCAUAGUUAGGACAUUAUUGACAUCGACAUCAGGAGGAAUCAUAACGAUAUCGACGUCAUCUGCCUCAUCAUCAUCCGCGAUGUCAGCUAAAGCCUGUGAAAGUUGUUUAUAUCUCUUUCCAUAAAAACACGAAGUGGAAAUAGCCAUCCUAACCAAAAGAUACAAUUUUUUAUUUCACCUACACAUUUUGCCAUUGUACCUAAGCGGGUACACAACUUUUGAAAGGCACAUACCUCAAAUAAGAAUAGGUUUUUCAAAUGGUUUUUUUUUGUAAAAUUGAUCUCUUUAGUCUUAUCUCAUACAACACACAAUUUUAAAACUAACAACUGAGAGAUAAUAGCUCAUCAACAGCAAAAUAAUGACUAAAGACACAAAAUCACCCAAUAUGAAAAAACCGCACAGAAGUUGACACCACAAAAAAUACCGUUAUGAAUUCGCGUGAAGCGAAUGUAUUUUUUUUGUUGUUUCUAGGAAUAAAACUACGCAUAUGAUCAAAAAUUUGUGUGCAAAUACUUAGCAUUGAGUUACGCCACAUGCCUAAACUUGACUGAUUUUCUGUACACAAGCGAGUACAAUGGUUGUAAAUGGGUUAAAGCCCUUACCUAAAGUAAAGUUGUGAGCCUUAAAAUUUUACGCUUUUUCGGCUGUAUUAAAGCGUAACAACAGCCGGAAUUGACCGAUCUGCAAUACCAAGUUCCAUCAAGAUAUAUCAAAAUUAUCAGUUGAACGGGCGGACGGACAAACAAUUCGUCUCAUCAUCCUGAACAAUUUGUAUGUAACCCUUUAUGUAUCUCGAUUAUUUUAUACGUUAUUAAACUACAUCUAUAAAAAAAAAACAAUAAUAAUACAUUAGUAACUUUUUUUCUCU